ACUGAGGAUCUUUAGUGGGAUUUCGUUACUGUGUCGACUGAUUAAUGAUUUUUAGGGUACAAUAUUUUGUUGAAGCUCAUUCAGCAUCGGCUUUAGAGUUGAGCACUCUUCUGGGGGAGAAGGAACUCUCUUCCAUUGCCACCUCUUUUGCCUGCUGCCUACACUGUCUGUGUGUGCAUUUGUAAUUAAUGCAUCGUAAAUUGGGUAGCCCUGUCCAGACGCAGAUGGCCACAGCAGCAGGCUUUAAGAGUCCACUCGGUCGAGAGUUUGGCGGGAGCAAGAUGAUGGAAGGGAAACUGUCUUCAGGGAGGAGAAGGGUCUUUGUGCAAACUGACACUGGUUGUGUCCUGGGGAUGGAAUUGGAUCGGAGUGAUAAUGCUCAUACUGUGAAGAGGAGGUUACAGCUUGCGCUCAAUGUACCAACUGAUGAGAGCUCUUUGACAUUUGGGGAUAUGGUACUGAAGAACGACCUCAGUGCCGUAAGAAGCGAUUCUCCCCUUCUUCUUACACGAAACAUUUUGCACAGAAGCUCGUCGACUCCUUGUCUCUCACCUACUGGAAGGGAUAUUCAGCAAAGAGAUCAGAGUGGUCCUAUUGAGAUAUUAGGCCAUUCUGAUCGCUUUAUUAGGACAAAGCAAUUGGUUGGUGAGAUUACAAAAGCAAUUAAAGUUGGUGUAGAUCCUAUUCCUGUUCAUAGUGGACUUGGUGGUGCAUACUAUUUCAGAAAUAACAGAGGUGAGAGCGUUGCGAUUGUGAAGCCUACGGAUGAAGAACCUUUUGCACCAAACAAUCCAAAAGGAUUUGUUGGUAAAGCUCUUGGUCAACCUGGGUUAAAACGAUCAGUGCGUGUUGGGGAGACUGGAUUUCGUGAGGUUGCAGCUUAUCUUCUUGACUACAAUCACUUUGCUAAUGUGCCUCCCACUGCCUUGGUGAAGAUUACCCACUCGAUCUUCAAUGUCAAUGAUGGAGUAAAUGGUAACAUGCCGAGUAAGAAGAAGCUGGUUAGCAAGAUUGCAUCGUUACAAGAAUUCAUACCACAUGAUUUUGAUGCCAGUGAUCAUGGAACUUCCAGCUUCCCAGUAGUGGCUGUGCAUCGUAUAGGCAUACUAGACAUUAGAGUUUUUAACACAGAUAGACAUGCUGGAAAUCUUUUAGUUAGGAAACUUGAUGGUGUUGGGAGGUUUGGUCAAGUGGAGCUCAUUCCUAUUGAUCAUGGACUCUGCUUGCCAGAAACAUUAGAGGAUCCAUAUUUUGAGUGGAUUCAUUGGCCGCAGGCAUCAAUUCCAUUUUCAGAGGACGAGCUCAAGUAUAUCAAAGAUCUCAACCCAUUUAAAGAUAGUGAGAUGCUGAGGAUGGAGCUCCCCAUGAUUCGCGAGGCUUGUCUCAGGGUUCUGGUUCUCUGCACGAUCUUCCUGAAGGAAGCUGCUGCAUUUGGUCUUUGUCUUGCCGAGAUUGGCGAGAUGAUGACUAGGGAGUUUCGUAGUGCAGAGGAGGAUCCCAGUGAACUGGAACUUAUAUGCAUGGAGGCUAGGAAGCUGAUCAAAGAGAAGGAGGUCUUAUCCCCUCGGGCAGAUUUAGGCGAUGAGGAAUUCCAGUUUGAUAUAGACUGCGACGAAGAGGAGUUAGAUUUUAGCCAAGAUAUAGAAGCAGAUGAUUUUAACCCAACAGCACCAUUCCACUUCCACGGUGGCGGUAUACGUGGACGUUUUCCUCUUCGUAAACUGGAGGAAAGCAUCGAGGAAGAAAAUAGUGAAGAAGAUGAGCAAGGAGGCUUCGCCGAUCUGUUUUCUUCUGAAAGGAUUCCAACUAUUUCAAAGCUUUCCAUGUCACUGAAGAAUACCAGUCUGGGUGAGAAGAAUAAGAAACACGCCAAGUACUCUGGAACAAGACCUGAGAAUGGAUAUAUGAUGACCAAUACAUCCUCUGGCCACAGAAGUGCAAAUGAACAGCUUCCAGCCAGUGUAACCUUUGUGAAGCUAGCUGAUAUGAACGAAGAUGCAUGGUCACUAUACUUAGAGAAGUUUCAAAAGCUACUUCACCCGGCAUUUGCGAAGCGAAAAUCUGCAACUCUAGGCCAGAGGCAGAGGCAGAGGCUUGGUACUUCUUGCCAAUUUUGAGAUUGAGCUAAGAAGAGUCGAUUGAUUGAUGAUAGCUUUGAUGAUGCAAAGGUGUUUUCUGGGUUCUGUUCGAGACACGACUACAUUUAGAAGGUCUGAGCAGGUGCCAUGGCGGGAUCAGCUGGAUGAGUACCAAAUUGUUUGUCAAAACAAAGGUAAGAGAUAUUGGACGAAGAAGUGCACAGGUGAAGAAGGUGAAGUAGCAGUAGAAGAAGGGCAAACACAUACACACAAAAUGCUAAUAGAAUCGUCUUCCGACCUAUCGAUUGCAUACGAUGACGUAUCGAAUCGUCGAAACGUAUACAAAAAUUUCAAGUCCGUCUCUGUACCCUUUAUGUCAGGAUGCAACCCCUUACUCAACUCGUAGAAUCAAGUCGCCAAGUAUCUCGGGCUCGACAUUGAUGGAAGAACUGUGAAGCUUUAAGAACUCACAUUUGAUUUAUGGAAGCAAAAAGGAGAUAUUCAACCAUCCUAAUCAUUAUUUGAACAAGCAAGAUGUCAUGGUCAUGUUUGUCCAAAGCAUGUCAGUCUUGUUUGUCUGAGUCAGUUGACAGAGAGGAUGUAAUGAUCAUGCUUGUCCAAAGCAUGUUGCUUA